GGUGGUUCUUGGGAGAUGUAACCUGGAAUCAGGGGGCUCCCUCCUGUAUGGUUCUGGGUGCAUCACCCGAGAACCACU
rfam:Myotis lucifugus cont2.6848, whole genome shotgun sequence.